rnacentral:rRNA from 1 species
GACGAACGCUGGCGGCGUGCUUAACACAUGCAAGUGGAGCGACGAACCAGAGCUUGCUCUGGGGCAGAGCCGCGAACGGGUGAGUAACACGUGGGUAACCUACCCCAAUGACCGGGACAACCCGAGGAAACUCGGGCUAAUACCGGAUGUGCUCGAUUACUUCAAGGUUUUUGAGUAAAGAUAGCUUCGGCCUUCGCAUUGGGACGGGCCCGCGGCCCAUUAGCUUGUUGGUGAGGUAACGGCUUACCAAGGCGACGAUGGGUAGCUGGUCUGAGAGGACGAUCAGCCACACUGGGACUGAGACACGGCCCAGACUCCUACGGGAGGCAGCAGUGGGGAAUCUUGCGCAAUGCGCGAAAGCGUGACGCAGCAACGCCGCGUGGGGGAAGAAGGCCUUCGGGUUGUAAACCCCUUUCAGUUGGGACGAAGCUUCCAGGGUUAAUAGCUUUGUGGAGUGACGGUACCUUCAGAAGAAGCCCCGGCUAACUACGUGCCAGCAGCCGCCGUAACAC